AUUGGUCAAUGGCCUAACGGCUGAACUGGCAACUUGGAGAAGUGGCAAGUCUUCCAGUAUGGGGAGCAAAACAGCUAUGGGUCAAGUCCGAUAUCUUUAGGAGAAGUCUUAUUGUGAGGGCGAGUUAUAUAACACCAUAGGACUGGCCGUCCCAUAUGAAAAGAUUAUAUUAGAAUUGAAUGAAGCUUUGUUUAUAUAUUGAUAAUGACAGUAUAUAUAUCGUGUCUUGACUAAUUGCGUGCCAGCAGUCGCGGUAAUACGUAAGAGACUAGUGUUAUUCAUCUUAAUUAGGUUUAAAGGGUACCCAGACGGUCAAUAUAGCUUAUAAAAUGUUAGUACUUGACUAGAGUUUUAUGUAAGAGGGCAGUACUUGAGGAGGAGAGAUGAAAUUUCGUGAUACCAAAGGGACUCUGUAAAGGCGAAGGCAGCCCUCUAUGUAAAAACUGACGUUGAAGGACGAAGGCACAGAGAACAAACAGGAUUAGAUACCCAAGUAGUCUUUGCAGUAAAUGAUGAAUGCCAUAGGUUAGAUUGGUCAAUUAUAGUCUAGGGUUAGUCUAGCAAACUAAUGCCCUGUGCUAUAAUUCAAAAUAUCUGGUCUAUAAAUGAAAGUGUAAGCAUUUCACCUCAAGAGUAAUGUGGCAACGCAGGAACUGAAAUCACUAGACCGUUUCUGACACCAGUAGUGAAGUAUGUUAUUUAAUU
rnacentral:rRNA from 1 species